rnacentral:lncRNA from 1 species
GUGUUGGCUGACACGCAGUCCUCUCGGUCCUCAGUCCAGUGUGGGUUUCCCUGGGCUGAAGUCAAGGUGUUGGCUGACACACAGUCCUCUCGGUCCUCAGUCCAGUGUGGGUUUCCCUGGGCUGAAGUCAAGGUGUUGGCCAGGGCUUUGCUUUUUGCAGGCCCUACAGGAAGAUGUUCUCUUGCUCGUUGGGAGGUUGGCAGAAUUCCGUUCUUGCUGGUGGUAGGACUGGCAGUAGCACCUUGCUGGGUGCAAGCCGAGCCUUUCCCGGCUUCUCCAGGCCGCCUGCGUUGUUCACGGAGGGCCCUUGCCCAUCUGCAGAGCCAGCACUGGCGGGUGAAGUCCCUCUCAUGCUUUGACUCUCCUUCUGUCUCAUCUGUAGCUCAGCCAGGAAAGGCGGUUAAGGACUUAUGUAGUUAAUUGGCCCCACCCAGAUAAUCCCGGAUAAUCUCCCACCUCGAGAUCCGUGCACCUUAAUCCUGUCUGCAGAGUCCCAUGCUAGCAACUCAGCAGCAAACAGCCCCUGCACUGUGCCCUGCAGGAACAUGGCUGCUGGUGGCAGGCCGGCCCAGACAGACAGACUACCACCUGAGCCAAGGAACCUCCACUCAGGUGGCCGAGGGUCCCACUUCCGAGCCGAGGGUGCUACGCAGGCUCAGCAGCCAGCCUCCCUCGGCUGCCUUACAGCAACUCUGCUGACAGUCCCUGGGCAGAUUGGCCUCCAUGGGCAGGGGCACAGGUGCCACGUCCACUCCCCAGACCACCAGCACGUUGAUGACUGUUGAAAACAAAGUCGCCUGGGCACGGUGGCUCAACCCUGUCAUCCCAGCGCUUUGGGAGGCCGAGGUGGGUGGAUAACCUGAGGUCAGGAGUUUGAGACCAGCCUGGCCAACAUGGUGAAACCCCAUCUCUACUAAAAAUACAAAAAAAAAAAUUAGUUGGGCAUGGUGGUGGGUGCCUGUAAUCCCAGCUACUCGGGAGGCUGAGGCAGGAGAAUCACUUGAACAUGGGAGGUAGAGGUUGCAGUGAGCUGAUAUUGCGCCACCACACUCCGGCCUGGACAACGAGAGUGAAACUGUCUCAAAAAAAAAAAAAAACGGGGGGCCGGGCGCGGUGGCUCACGCCUGUAAUCGCAGCACUUUGGGAGGCCUAGGCGGGCGGAUCACAAGGUCAGGAGAUGGAGACCACGGUGAAACCCCGUCUCUACCAAAAAUACAAAAAAUUAGGCAGGCGCGGUGGUGGGCGCCUGUAGUCCCAGCUACUCGGGAGGCUGAGGCAGGAGAAUGGCAUGAACCCAGAAGGCGGAGCUUGCAGUGAGCCGAGAUCGCGCCACUGCACUCCAGCCUGGGCGACAGAGCAAGACUCCGUCUCAAAAACGAAAAGAAAAGAAAAGAAAGUCGCAUCUGGUAAAGCAGACAAAAAAGAAAAAGAAAAGAAAACGAAGUCGCACCUAGUAAAGCAAACGCCUCAGUGACAUUUUCAGACCCCUUCCUCCCCCUCCACUGCCCGUUUUCAGAUUGAUGCUGUGAGACCCCCUCUGAAGGGUGCCUGAGUCUGCAGCCAGGCAACGUGCUGUGCCCGUCCCCACCUCCCUCCACACGUUCCUGGGCAGCCUCCACGCCCAUGUACUCACCUGUUCUCACGCUGCUAGGAAGAAAUACCCCAGACUGGGUCAUUUGUAAAGAAAAGAGGUUUAAUUGACUCACAGUUCCGCAUGGCUGCAGAGGCCUCAGGAAAUUUACAGUCAUGGCGGAAGGUACCUCACACAGGGCAGCUCCAGAGAGAAUGAGUGCUGAGUGAAGGGGGAAGCCCCUCCUAAAACCAUCAGGUGUCGGGAGAACUCACUCACCCGCACAAAAACAGCAGGGGGGAACCACCCCCAUGAUUUAAUUAUCUCCAUCUGGCCCCGCCCUCAACCUGUGGGGAUUAGUCAAGGUGAGAUUUGGGCGGGGACACAGCCAAAUCUUAUCACUCCUGAGCCUGCUUAGCUCCCACCUCGUCCUCUGUCCUUUUUUGAUCCUGAAGGGCUAGGUGCUGUGCCAAACCUGGGAGGCCCAGGAUGCUGGCUUCAGGCUGCCAAUCUGUGGCCCUCAGCGCCAUCAGACCCAGGCCCCUUCUAGACAAAUGGUUGUGGCAUUCCCUUUACCAUCCUGAAAAGAAUGAAACUCGGCUGGCCAUGGUGGCUCACGCCUGUAAUCCCAGCACUUUAGGAGGCCGAGGCAGGCAGAUCACUUGAGGUCAGGAGUUCAAGACAAGCCUAGCCAACAUGGUGAAACCCCAUCUCUACAAAAAAUGCAAAAAAAAUUAGCUGGGCAUGGUGGCGGGCACCUGUAGUCCCCACUCCUUGGGAGGCAGAGGCACAAGAAUCACUUGAACCCAGAAGGUGGAGGUUGCCAUGAGCCAAGAUUGUGCUACAAUUGUGUGGCGGCUCAUACCUGUCAUCCCAGCACUUUGGGAGGUCAAGGUGGGCAGAUUGCUUGAGCUCAGGAGCUCAAGACCAGCCUGGGCAACACAGCGAGACCCCUGACUGUACAAAAGAUACAAAAUUAGCCAGGUGUGGUGGUGCACACCUGUAGUCCCAGCUACUCAGGAGGCUGAGCUAUGAGGAGCACGUGAGCCUAGGAGUUGGAGGCUGCAGUGAGCCUUGGCCUCACCACUGCACUCCAGCCUGGGUGACAGAACGAGACACCUUCUCAAAAAAUAAAAAUAAAAACGUGGACUGAUAGGUGAGAGAGGUUUGAUGGUUUGGGAACAGCGGUGCUGCCACGGCUGGGUGAGGGGCCAUGCGAUCUGCUUGGAAUGCCAUGUGAGGGGAAGGGGAGGUCAGGGCAGUGCCUGGUGUGGUUCCCAGCAGGGAGCACAGGAGGUUUAUUCUCUGGGAAAAUUGAGUCGUGGACAGCAGACACCACUGGGGAUGGUGGGGGACAGGGUGGCAGGGGACAGGGUGGCCUGAGCAAGCCCCUCCUUGCCUGGGAACUCAGGGCCUCCUGAUAUGCAGAUGGGAGCCCGUGGCAGGAUGAUGGCAGGAUAACCGUCAGCCCAAAAGAAGCGGCCACGAGACGCCGCCGAGAGCCCCAACUUAGAAGCCAGAGUCACCAGCUUCCUGGCUAGGGUCUGUCCUUGAGGGUCACCAGAAUGUGAGGAAAGACCCAGACAGGCAGGAAAAGAGCUCAGGGAAGGACAUCUUACCAUUGGCGUCAUCAGAGAUACCGCAUCCACGAAUGAAGAGCCAGACGCUGCCAGAGGGGAACGCUCAGAGCACCGGAAGGAGCUUUUAGAAAUUAUAAAUAAGCAGCACAUUUUAAAAAAGCCAUAGAAGGGCUAGAAAAGAAAGUUGAGGACAUCUCCCAGAAAAUAGAACAAAAAGAGAUUAAAAAACAACUGGGCAGUCCCUGCAGAGGUCACCCUGGCUGGCGCGGCUCAGGAUGGAGGGCGGGAGCUGUGUGCCUGGAGGGGGGAGCUGAGGCACGUCAGGAUGUGUCUCCAGACUGCAAGGGCCACAGAGUACGAAAAAGACCACCCAGAGCAAUGUGGUCAAAGACCAUGCCUUAAAAGGUUUUAGGAAACAGAAUGGGUCCCACGGGAGGGUGGGGAUGUGAACGGCACCAGCCUGGUGGCUCGGGUGCCAGGCCAGGGCCAGAUGUAGCCUCAUACCAGCCCAGCUGGGAGUCCGCUUGCUGAGACUUGGUCUCCUGUAGCUGGUGGGGAAGCGGCACCCUGUGCGGUAGACAGAACCAGCAGCCGAGGCGCCGGUGGCUUUGCUCUGGUGGCAGGACAGGUGUUCUGACCUCCCUGCCUCUGUCCCCUGAGGUCAGAGCGCCUGUCCUGUGGAGCGGCUCUGACCAGGACAGUGCCGUGUGUCUCAUGGGGUUGUGUUCAGGUCGGCUGAGAGGCAGCGCCUGGCUGGGGCUAGAUGAACAAGAGGGUUAUUGGGAACAGUAAACCUGAGGUGGUGAGCAAGGCCUGUGGCACCCAGCAGAUGAGGAGGAGAGCAGGGGGAAGGGUGGCAGGAGUUGCUGGUGCUGCGUGAGGCCUCAGUGGGCCUGCACGGAGCAGCUGACCUUCACUGGCGCCCUUGCCUUUUCACUGAGCCGGGUAUUAGCUUAGCUUAUUUUUGAAAAGACAUUUCAACAGGAGGUAAAAAUGAACAGCACACCAAGAGAAUAUGUCACAGCUGAUGCCUAGGGACCCCCUUAUGGGGUAGUGUUGAGCUCUGCAGCCGGAGCCCACUGCCCCUGCCCCUGCGCCGUCCCCCAGCGCGGGCUCCAGGCCUCUCCUGGGUCACUGCUCUGUGCCUCCAGGAGCUCCUCCCUCUACCCCGCCCUGCCCCACCCCGUCACCUGCUUGCCCUGACCCUGCCUGGAUAAUUGAGACCUUCCAGGCCAAGGGCCCCCUCCCCAGGAUCCUGACACCUGUCCCUCUGAGAGUCCAGACCUUUUCCAGAGUGACAUCCUGGGGCCCUGUGUGGUCAGAGGGCUCCAUGUGGUCAGUGGCUGUGGCUUGCUGGGAACAAGACACUCGGCUGACUGUGCUUAGAGAACAGGCCGCUGUUUGUGUCUAAAUGGUAUCCAUGGGGACGUUGUUUCAUAGUCUUCUUACACUUUUCCUCUUCACUGUUGCUGAGAAUCCUGUUCUGACGCGCACCGUGGGCAACCGGGUGCGGAGCCUGCAGGAUGGGUGGGACGCAGACGUCCAGCGGGAGGAGCAUCCCAGAGCAGCCUCUGAUUCAAGAGCAAGGUGCUCUAGAGGCCCCGGCUCUGUGGGUGGGUGACGUGGUCCCCAGGCUUUUCCCGGCAUCCCCGUUCCUUUUGCAGCAGCCAUGGCUCCUGGUGGCCCUGGGCCAUGGCGCCAUCUAGGGGUGGCCUAGGGGAGUCCCCGGGCCAUCAGCAUCUGUCUUGUGGGUGUUGCUGGCGCCUGCCUGCUUGGCCACAUUGGCACGUCGAGGUGACCGUCAAGGAGAAGCAGCUAUGGCCUUUGUGGCAAUCGUGGUGUCCAACUUUGGCCUCUCAGGUCAGCCUCAUGGGGGCUUCAACAGCCAGGACCAAAAUGACCAAGGCCCCUCCGUCCCUGUGUCCCUGCUUGACAGAACCACCGGAGGAGGGAGGUGCGGGAAGGGUGUUGACGGCCUGAGCGCGGUGCCUCCCUGAAGAGUGUUGUUUCACUUGUGAGUGUGCACGGGACAGCCGCCCUGGCCUGUAGAAUCAAGAGCAGGGACAGCCGCCCUGGCCUGUAGAAUCAAGAGCAGAGACAGCCGCCCUGGCCUGUAGAAUCAAGAGCAGGGACAGCCGCCCUGGCCUGUAGAAUCAAGAGCAGGGACAGCCGCCCUGGCCUGUAGAUUCAAGAGCAGGGACAGCCGCCCUGGCCUGUAGAAUCAAGAGCAAGGGACAGCCGCCUUCGCCUGUAGAAUCAAGAGCAGGGACAGCCGCCCUGGCCUGUAGAAUCAAGAGCACGGGACAGCCGCCCUGGCCUGUAGAAUCAAGAGCACGGGACAGCCGCCCUGGCCUGUAGAAUCAAGAGCAGGGACAGCCGCCCUGGCCUGUAGAAUCAAGAGCAAGGGACAGCCGCCCUGGCCUGUAGAAUCAAGAGCAAGGGACAGCCGCCUUUGCCUGUAGAAUCAAGAGCAGGGACAGCCGCCCUGGCCUGUAGCAUCAAGAGCAAGGGACAGCCGCCCUGGCCUGUAGAAUCAAGAGCAGGGACAGCCGCCCUGGCCUGUAGAAUCAAGAGCAGGGACAGCCGCCCUGGCCUGUAGAAUCAAGAGCAGGGACAGCCGCCCUGGCCUGUAGAAUCAAGAGCAGGGACAGCCGCCCUGGCCUGUAGAAUCAAGAGCAGGGACAGCCGCCCUGGCCUGUAGAAUCAAGAGCAGGGACAGCCGCCCUGGCCUGUAGAAUCAAGAGCAGGGACAGCCGCCCUGGCCUGUAGAAUCAAGAGCAGGGACAGCCGCCCUGGCCUGUAGAUUCAAGAGCAGGGACAGCCGCCCUGGCCUGUAGAAUCAAGAGCAAGGGACAGCCGCCUUCGCCUGUAGAAUCAAGAGCAGGGACAGCCGCCCUGGCCUGUAGAAUCAAGAGCACGGGACAGCCGCCCUGGCCUGUAGAAUCAAGAGCACGGGACAGCCGCCCUGGCCUGUAGAAUCAAGAGCACGGGACAGCCGCCCUGGCCUGUAGAAUCAAGAGCAGGGACAGCCGCCCUGGCCUGUAGAAUCAAGAGCAAGGGACAGCCGCCUUUGCCUGUAGAAUCAAGAGCAGGGACAGCUGCCCUGGCCUGUAGCAUCAAGAGCAAGGGACAGCCGCCCUGGCCUGUAGAAUCAAGAGCAGGGACAGCCGCCCUGGCCUGUAGAAUCAAGAGCAGGGACAGCCGCCCUGGCCUGUAGAAUCAAGAGCAGGGACAGCCGCCCUGGCCUGUAGAAUCAAGAGCAAGGGACAGCCGCCUUCGCCUGUAGAAUCAAGAGCAGGGACAGCCGCCCUGGCCUGUAGAAUCAAGAGCACGGGACAGCCGCCCUGGCCUGUAGAAUCAAGAGCACGGGACAGCCGCCCUGGCCUGUAGAAUCAAGAGCAGGGACAGCCGCCCUGGCCUGUAGAAUCAAGAGCAAGGGACAGCCGCCUUUGCCUGUAGAAUCAAGAGCAGGGACAGCCGCCCUGGCCUGUAGCAUCAAGAGCAAGGGACAGCCGCCCUGGCCUGUAGAAUCAAGAGCAAGGGACAGCCGCCCUGGCCUGUAGAAUCAAGAGCAGGGACAGCCGCCCUGGCCUGUAGAAUCAAGAGCAGGGACAGCCGCCCUCACCUGUAGAAUCAGCAGGGACAGCCGCCCUGGCCUGUAGCAUCAAGAGCAGGGACAGCCGCCCUGGCCUGUAGCAUCAAGAGCAGGGACAGCUGCCCUUGCUUGUAGAAUCAAGAGCAGGGACAGCCGCCCUCGCCUGUAGAAUCAAGAGCAGGGGACAGCUGCCCUCGUCUUUAGAUUGAAGAGCAGGGACUGCCGCCCUCGCCUGUAGAAUCAAGAGCAGGACUGCCGCCCUGGCCGGUAGAAUCAAGAGCACAGUGCAGCAGCACGCAGCACACUCAGCGGAUGGAGGGCCUGGCUUCUGCACGCCGGCUGGCACUUGCUGCCAGUUGCCCUUUUCUGCGAGGCUGGAUCGUGGUGCGGUGGUGGCUUGGAUGGGUUUCUCUGCUGAACGAUGAUGUGGAAUGCCUUUUCACUGCUUCUUGGUCGUCGGUUUUUCUUCUUUGGGGAAAUGUCUAUUCAAGUCCUUUGCCCUUUUUUUAAAGUAUAAUUUCCGUAUUUUUUUCCCCAGAGGAUAGUUUGUCUUUAGUCCUUAAGGACUCAGCUCCUUAUGUGGGUCUUAGUGGGAGUCGUGGGCAACACCCAGGUCUAGACCCAGGUGGAAUGCAUGGUCUUGGGGCCUUGGUGGGGGUCGUGGGCAGCACCCAGGUCUAGACUUGGGUGACGUGCAUAGCCCUGGACUUGAGGAGCAGGAUUCCUGACUGGCUUGCUGUGAAGGGCACCACUGGGGCAGUGACGCAGCUUCACACGCAGCUCGGGAAGCACACAGUCGGCGCAGAUGCUUCCAAAAUGUCUGCAAGGCUGCGGCCUCUACUGCAUCCAGAUGGUGAACUGCCUAACUCUACCGCGUCCCGAUGGUGAACUGCUAACUCUGCCGUAUCCCGAUGGUGAACUGCCGAACUCUACCGCAUCCCGAUGGUGAACUGCCAAACUCUACCGCAUCCCGAUGGUGAACUGCUAACUACCGCAUCCCGAUGGUGAACUGCUAACUCUGCCGCAUCCCGAUGGUGAACUGCCAAACUUUACCUCGUCCCGAUGGUGAACUGCCUAAACCUCGUCCCGAUGGUGAACUGCCUAACUCUACCGCAUCCCGAUGGUGAACUGCCUAACUCUACCAC